rnacentral:rRNA from 1 species
ACUCCUACGGGAGGCAGCAGUGGGGAAUAUUGCACAAUGGGCGCAAGCCUGAUGCAGCCAUGCCGCGUGUGUGAAGAAGGCCUUGGGUUGUAAAGCACUUUCAGUCGUGAGGAAGGUAGUGUAGUUAAUAGCUGCAUUAUUUGACGUUAGCGACAGAAGAAGCACCGGCUAACUCCGUGCCAGCAGCCGCGGUAAUACGGAGGGUGCGAGCGUUAAUCGGAAUUACUGGGCGUAAAGCGCAUGCAGGUGGUUUGUUAAGUCAGAUGUGAAAGCCCGGGGCUCAACCUCGGAAUAGCAUUUGAAACUGGCAGACUAGAGUACUGUAGAGGGGGUAGAAUUUCAGGUGUAGCGGUGAAAUGCGUAGAGAUCUGAAGGAUACCGGUGGCGAAGGCGGCCCCUGGACAGAUACUGACACUCAGAUGCGAAAGCGUGGGAGCAAACAGGAUUAGAUACCCCUGGUAGACUGUCA